rnacentral:ncRNA from 1 species
CGCGUAGAGGCGCGUCGAAUCAUCAGUAGACGGCACAGGGCCUGCGGACAGCGUUGACAGGGCCGGUCGAAAGGGAUCGACGCCGAAGGCCCGGCGAAGCCGCACGUCAGGCCUGGUCCUUCCGGGAAUACCGGCCGGACUGUCAGCGCGCAGGCAGAGCAGGCGCGGUGGAGAGCUAUGCGUU